AUGGGGCUGUCGUUCGGGACGCUGUUCGGGGCGCUGUUCGCCAAGAAGGAGAUGCGGAUCCUGAUGGUCGGCCUCGACGCCGCCGGGAAGACCACCAUCCUGUACAAGCUCAAGCUCGGCGAGAUCGUCACCACCAUCCCCACCAUCGGGUUCAACGUGGAGACAGUAGAGUAUAAGAACAUCAGCUUCACUGUUUGGGAUGUUGGUGGCCAGGACAAGAUAAGGCCUUUGUGGAGGCACUACUUCCAGAACACUCAGGGCCUUAUCUUUGUUGUUGACAGCAACGACAGAGACCGUAUUGCUGAGGCAAGAGAUGAGCUCCACAGGAUGCUGAAUGAGGAUGAGCUGCGCAAUGCUGUAUUGCUUGUUUUUGCUAACAAGCAAGAUCUUCCCAAUGCCAUGAAUGCUGCUGAAAUAACAGAUAAGCUUGGUCUACACUCUCUGCGUCAGCGACACUGGUAUAUCCAGAGUGCUUGCGCCACAAGUGGAGAGGGUCUAUAUGAAGGGUUGGACUGGCUCUCCAACAACAUAGCCAGCAAGUCCUGA
rnacentral:rRNA from 1 species